GAAACGACUGCUAAGACUGGAUAGGAGACAAGAAGGCAUCUUCUUGUUUUUAAAAGACCUAGCAAUAGGUAUGCUUAGGGAGGAGCUUGCGUCACAUUAGUUAGUUGGUGGGGUAAAGGCCUACCAAGACUAUGAUGUGUAGCCGGGCUGAGAGGUUGAACGGCCACAUUGGGACUGAGACACGGCCCAAACUCCUACGGGAGGCAGCAGUAGGGAAUUUUCGGCAAUGGAGGAAACUCUGACCGAGCAACGCCGCGUGAACGAUGAAGUAUUUCGGUACGUAAAGUUCUUUUAUUAGGGAAGAAUAAAUGAUGGAAAAAUCAUUCUGACGGUACCUAAUGAAUAAGCCCCGGCUAACUAUGUGCCAGCAGCCGCGGUAAUACAUAGGGGGCAAGCGUUAUCCGGAAUUAUUGGGCGUAAAGGGUGCGUAGGCGGUUAAAUAAGUUUAUGGUCUAAGUGCAAUGCUCAACAUUGUGAUGCUAUAAAAACUGUUUAGCUAGAGUAAGAUAGAGGCAAGUGGAAUUCCAUGUGUAGUGGUAAAAUGCGUAAAUAUAUGGAGGAACACCAGUAGCGAAGGCGGCUUGCUGGGUCUUUACUGACGCUGAGGCACGAAAGCGUGGGGAGCAAACAGGAUUAGAUACCCUGGUAGUCCACGCCGUAAACGAUGAGUACUAAACGUUGGGUAAAACCAGUGUUGAAGUUAACACAUUAAGUACUCCGCCUGAGUAGUACGUACGCAAGUAUGAAACUUAAAGGAAUUGACGGGACUCCGCACAAGCGGUGGAUCAUGUUGUUUAAUUUGAAGGUACCCGAAAAACCUCACCAGGUCUUGACAUGCUUCUGCAAAGCUGUAGAAACACAGUGGAGGUUAUCAGUUGCACAGGUGGUGCAUGGUUGUCGUCAGCUCGUGUCGUGAGAUGUUGGGUUAAGUCCCGCAACGAGCGCAACCCUUAUUGUUAGUUACCAGCACGUAAUGGUGGGGACUUUAGCAAGACUGCCAGUGAUAAAUUGGAGGAAGGUGGGGACGACGUCAAAUCAUCAUGCCCCUUAUGACCUGGGCUACAAACGUGAUACAAUGGCUGUUACAAAGGGUAGCUGAAGCGCAAGUUUUUGGCGAAUCUCAAAAAAACAGUCUCAGUUCGGAUUGAAGUCUGCAACUCGACUUCAUGAAGUUGGAAUCGCUAGUAAUCGCGAAUCAGCAUGUCGCGGUGAAUACGUUCUCGGGGUUUGUACACACCGCCCGUCAAAC
rnacentral:rRNA from 1 species